AGAGUCCAAGUGUAAUCAAAGAGACGUACCUCUGAGUCGAAACAGCCACAGUGAAAGUCUAGUUGCCAGUACUUAAUUUCAAUUGAAGGAGAGAUGAAUAGGAAAUUGACGUUGUUUCUUAAGCUCGGCCGUGAUUAUGUUGACAGACUACGAAACGUUUCAUUCCUAACUCUUAUACUUUCUCUUGAACGUUAAGGUAAGCAGUUACACGUCACGGUCCCUUGGGUAAAUGUAAAACGUC
rnacentral:rRNA from 1 species